CUGGCAGACUUAUCUCAACAGCGCUGUGGAGUAAGGUCUGGCUACACCCCAGAUGCAUUCUGGGAUAGGAGGAAAACAACACUCUGGGUUGUUAGCAUUGCUUUAAAGGUGCUCUGC